ACCGGCAGCUCAAGUGGUGGCCAUUUUUAUUGGGCCUAAAGCGUUCGUAGCCGGUUUGACAAGUCUCUGGUGAAAUCCCGCAGCUUAACUGUGGGACUUGCUGGAGAUACUAUUAGACUUGAGGUCGGGAGAGGUUAGGGGUACUCCCAGGGGUGGGGUGAAAAUCCAUAAUCCCGGGAGGGACACCCGUGGCGAAGGCGGCCUAACGGAAAGAAACUUACGGUGGGUAACGAAAGCCAGGGGCGCGAACCG
rnacentral:rRNA from 1 species